CGUGUCCUACGGGACGCAGCAGUGGGGAAUAUUGCACAAUGGGGGGAACCCUGAUGCAGCGACGCCGCGUGAGUGAAGAAGUAUUUCGGUGUGUAAAGCUCUAUCAGCAGGGAAGAAGAUGACGGUACCUGACUAAGAAGCCCCGGCUAACUACGUGCCAGCAGCCGCGGUAAUACGUAGGGGGCAAGCGUUAUCCGGAUUUACUGGGUGUAAAGGGGGCGCAGACGGCCAUGGCAAGCCCGGUGUGAAAGGUGCGGGCACAACCCGCAGACUGCACUGGUAACUGCCUGGCUGGAGUGCCGGAG
rnacentral:rRNA from 1 species